rnacentral:rRNA from 1 species
ACGAACGCUGGCGGCGUGCUUAACACCUGCAAGUCGAACGGAAAGGCCCUGCUUUUGUGGGGUGCUCGAGUGGCGAACGGGUGAGUAACACGUGAGUAACCUGCCCUUGACUUUGGGAUAACUUCAGGAAACUGGGGCUAAUACCGGAUAGGAGCUCCUGCUGCAUGGUGGGGGUUGGAAAGUUUCGGCGGUUGGGGAUGGACUCGCGGCUUAUCAGCUUGGUGGUGGGGUCGUGGCUUACCAAGGCUUUGACGGGUAGCCGGCCUGAGAGGGUGACCGGCCACAUUGGGACUGGGAUGCGGCCCAGACUCCUACGGGAGGCAGCAGUGGGGAAUAUUGCACAAUGGGCGGAAGCCUGAUGCAGCAACGCCGCGUGCGGGAUGACGGCCUUCGGGUUGUAAACCGCUUUCGCCUGUGACGAAGCGUGAGUGACGGUAAUGGGUAAAGAAGCACCGGCUAACUACG